rnacentral:tRNA from 1 species
AGGUUUGUAUUUUAAAUAUUAAUAAAACCUAACUUGCAAUUAGAAAAUGUGGUAACACCAAGCCUU